CGAUGGAAACCUGAGAAAUACUUGCUUUCUUUAUGAUAACCUUAGCAGUUUGUUUGACUCAUUAAGUCAAGUUCCUAAUUCUCAACUCAUUUCAAAGUUUGACGGAAAGUGAUCAAGAAGCAUAAGAUCUUCAGAUAAGUCUAGAAGAUAGAGCACCCUAUAUGUCCACUGAAGGAUCUUGGGCAAGUGCUCAGAUUUUUCUCUCUGUACCACACUGUCACUGCUGGGGAUGAGAGAGGAUGUGGCGUCGGAGAUUCAAGACUUUUUCCUACCUCUUCAGUGCCUCUUUCAGUUAUACAAGAAAUUUUUCUGUCCUGGUAAAGAUGACUUCACAUGCCAAACCAUUACCUCAGAGACUAAACC